UCCUCGAGAUAGGAGCCGAUCAGCCGGCG
rnacentral:sRNA from 1 species